rnacentral:rRNA from 1 species
GGACGUGCAUUCACUUUUAUGGUGUAAAAGCCUGUGGAAGCGUCUUACUGCUAUCUAUGGCCAAGUCACCUUCACGGGUGAUUUGGUCAGUGGUAGUUUGACGUUGCGGGCUCGGUCCAUCAGUGUGCCUCGCAAGGGGCCUCCAUUGGUGUGUUAACCGGCCCGCCCGUCCCCUCCUUCUGGAUUCCCGUUCCUGCUAUUGAUUUAGUGGGAACGUCACAGGGGGCUAGUCGUGUAAAAAGCGGCUAGUCUCUGGGGCCCAGAUCGUUUACCGUGAAAAAAUUAGAGUGUUCAAAGCGGGCAGAAACUUUUUCCUGCCACCGAAUACAUUAGCAUGGGAUAAUGGAAUAGGACCCUGACCUCCUAUUUUCAGUUGGUUUUGUUUACAGCGAGGUUCAUCAGGGUA